UACGGGGGGGGCAAGCGUUGUUCGGAAUUACUGGGCGUAAAGGGUUCGUAGGUGGCUUGCUAAGUCAGACGUGAAAUCCCUCGGCUCAACCGGGGAACUGCGUCUGAGACUGGCGAGCUUGAGUGUGGAAGAGAGAAGUGGAAUUCUCGGAGUAGCGGUAAAAUGCGUAGAUCUCGAGAGGAACACCGAUGGCGAAGGCAGCUUCUUGGUCCACACCUGACGCUGAUGCACGAAAGCGUGGGGAGCAAACAGG
rnacentral:rRNA from 1 species